ACACGGAGCUUGCUCUGUGGGAUCAGUGGCGAACGGGUGAGUAACACGUGAGCAACCUGCCCCUGUCUCUGGGAUAAGCGCUGGAAACGGCGUCUAAUACUGGAUAUGUGACGUGACCGCAUGGUCUGCGUUUGGAAAGAUUUUUCGGUUGGGGAUGGGCUCGCGGCCUAUCAGCUUGUUGGUGAGGUAAUGGCUCACCAAGGCGUCGACGGGUAGCCGGCCUGAGAGGGUGACCGGCCACACUGGGACUGAGACACGGCCCAGACUCCUACGGGAGGCAGCAGUGGGGAAUAUUGCACAAUGGGCGGAAGCCUGAUGCAGCAACGCCGCGUGAGGGAUGACGGCCUUCGGGUUGUAAACCUCUUUUAGCAGGGAAGAAGCGAAAGUGACGGUACCUGCAGAAAAAGCGCCGGCUAACUACGUGCCAGCAGCCGCGGUAAUACGUAGGGCGCAAGCGUUAUCCGGAAUUAUUGGGCGUAAAGAGCUCGUAGGCGGUUUGUCGCGUCUGCUGUGAAAUCCCGAGGCUCAACCUCGGGCCUGCAGUGGGUACGGGCAGACUAGAGUGCGGUAGGGGAGAUUGGAAUUCCUGGUGUAGCGGUGGAAUGCGCAGAUAUCAGGAGGAACACCGAUGGCGAAGGCAGAUCUCUGGGCCGUAACUGACGCUGAGGAGCGAAAGGGUGGGGAGCAAACAGGCUUAGAUACCCUGGUAGUCCACCCCGUAAACGUUGGGAACUAGUUGUGGGGUCCAUUCCACGGAUUCCGUGACGCAGCUAACGCAUUAAGUUCCCCGCCUGGGGAGUACGGCCGCAAGGCUAAAACUCAAAGGAAUUGACGGGGACCCGCACAAGCGGCGGAGCAUGCGGAUUAAUUCGAUGCAACGCGAAGAAGCCUUACCAAGGCUUGACAUAUACGAGAACGGGCCAGAAAUGGUCAACUCUUUGGACACUCGUAAACAGGUGGUGCAUGGUUGUCGUCAGCUCGUGUCGUGAGAUGUUGGGUUAAGUCCCGCAACGAGCGCAACCCUCGUUCUAUGUUGCCAGCACGUAAUGGUGGGAACUCAUGGGAUACUGCCGGGGUCAACUCGGAGGAAGGUGGGGAUGACGUCAAAUCAUCAUGCCCCUUAUGUCUUGGGCUUCACGCAUGCUACAAUGGCCGGUACAAAGGGCUGCAAUACCGUGAGGUGGAGCGAAUCCCANAAAGCCGGUCCCAGUUCGGAUUGAGGUCUGCAACUCGACCUCAUGAAGUCGGAGUCGCUAGUAAUCGCAGAUCAGCAACGCUGCGGUGAAUACGUUCCCGGGUCUUGUACACACCGCCCGUCAAGUCAUGAAAGUCGGUAACACCUGAAGCCGGUGGCCUAACCCUUGUGGAGGGAGCCGUCGAAGGUGGGAUCGGUAAUUAGGACUAAGU
rnacentral:rRNA from 1 species